rnacentral:tRNA from 1 species
CGAGGCGUAGCUCAGUUUGGCCAGAGCGCUUGGUUUGGGACCAAGAUGCCGCAGGUUCGAAUCCUGUCGCCUCGACCA